UACGUAGGGUGCGAGCGUUGUCCGGAAUUAUUGGGCGUAAAGAGCUUGUAGGCGGUUUGUCGCGUCUGCUGUGAAAUCUCAAGGCUCAACCUUGAGCUUGCAGUGGGUACGGGCAGACUAGAGUGUGGUAGGGGAGACUGGAAUUCCUGGUGUAGCGGUGAAAUGCGCAGAUAUCAGGAGGAACACCGAUGGCGAAGGCAGGUCUCUGGGGCCA
rnacentral:rRNA from 1 species